GAGGGAAAGGCGAAAAGAACCCCGGCGAGGGGAGUGAAAAAGAACCUGAAACCGUGUACGUACAAGCAGUAGGAGCCCCAUCACUCAAGUGCCUCGCACUGAGUGAUGCAAUAACAUCGCCGAAAAUAGCGCCGAAUUUGCUAACAAGGUUGGUCGAUUUUUUCAAGCCGUCGCGCAGUGUACCUAGAAGUACACGAGCAACGGAAGUUAAAAAAUCGGGCAAGAUUGAACGCAAAGGCAAGCGGGACAUUUGAGGAUGGGGUGACUGCGUACCUUUUGUAUAAUGGGUCAGCGACUUAUAUUCUGUAGCAAGGUUAACCGUAUAGGGGAGCC
rnacentral:rRNA from 1 species